UCUCCCACCAGUCUAUGAACGGGUUGCUGA
rnacentral:piRNA from 1 species